UUGUCAUUAUGUGGCAGUCAGUAGGCUCAGACAUACUCUCCCUCGGGGUUCCUCUUCCUCCGUAUCUAAACCCCCUUCUCUUCUCGCAAGAUGGCGGCCGCUGCAAUGCCUCACCGUCUCCACUUCCUCGCCGGCGCCGGCCCCGCCUUCUCUCGCUUCUCCAAACCCCACCUCCGCCCUUCCUCUGCCCGCAUGUCCCUCAGGGAAGACGGCCCUUCGCUCGCUGUGGUCGGCGUUACCGGCGCCGUCGGCCAAGAAUUCCUCUCCGUCCUUUCCGAUCGCUCCUUCCCUUACCGCUCCAUCAAAUUGCUCGCAUCCAAACGCUCCGCCGGUAAGCACCUCACAUUCGAGGACAAGGACUACGUUGUCGAAGAGCUCACCCCGGACAGCUUCCGUGGCGUCGAAGUUGCUCUCUUCAGUGCAGGUGGUUCCAUCAGCAAGCAGUUUGGGCCGAUCGCGGUCGAUUGCGGCUCUGUUGUCGUUGACAACAGUUCGGCAUUUCGGAUGGACGAGGGGGUGCCGCUUGUCAUUCCCGAAGUCAAUCCGGAGGCUAUGGCGCAUAUCAAGCUUGGGUCUGGAAAGGGGGCUCUAAUAGCGAACCCUAACUGCUCGACUAUCAUAUGCUUGAUGGCCGCCACGCCCCUUCAUCGCCGUGCCAAGGUGUUGCGUAUGGUUGUAAGUACGUACCAAGCAGCUAGUGGUGCUGGUGCUGCUGCGAUGGAAGAGCUUGAACAGCAGACUCGUGAGGUCCUGGAAGGAAAGGAGCCAACUUGUAAAAUUUUUAAACAACAGUAUGCUUUUAAUCUCUUCUCCCACAAUGCACCUAUCAUGUCAAACGGCUACAAUGAAGAGGAAAUGAAGUUAGUAAAGGAGACAAGGAAAAUAUGGAAUGAAAUCAAUGUCAAAGUAACAGCCACAUGCAUAAGAGUCCCAGUUAUGCGUGCACAUGCUGAAAGUGUGAACCUCCAAUUUGAGAAGCCUCUUGAUGAGGUAAUAUUGCAUUGUAAACCGAAGUUCUGGAGACAGCAAAAGAUAUUCUGAGUAAUGCUCCUGGCGUAGUGGUUAUUGAUGACCGGGCUGCCAAUCACUUCCCUACCCCUCUUGAAGUCUCAAACAAAGAUGAUGUUGCAGUUGGUAGGAUUCGGCGUGAUGUGUCCCAAGAUGGAAACUAUGGGUUGGAUAUCUUUGUUUGUGGUGAUCAAAUACGCAAGGGAGCUGCUCUUAAUGCUGUUCAGAUUGCAGAGAUGUUGCUAUAGGCCAGAUUUGAUUCUGCCUGUGUAACUUUUAUGUGGCAUAUUUGUUUGGUAAGAGGAAGUGAUGUCAGUUGAGCAGAGCUUAUACUUAUUCCACAACUGUGGAUGUCAUUCACAUGGCUAGAUAAAACAAAUUUGAGUGCUUUGGUCACCAACAGUUAGGAUAGUCGUUUUUUUUUUUUUUUUUGCUAGUCACAAACUUACCCGCUCUCUUGGGGGUAUUGUAGUAGUCUCCAGGGAACUUCUAUCAGAAGAAUUUUGUAUUGUUUAAUCAUUAAUCAUGUUAUUCUUUUGUGACUAAUUACCCCGUAUCCGAGCAUUAUGUUUCGUUUCUCGAGAGAACAAAAGUAGCUAGCAGUGAUUAAAAAUUGCGAUGCCUAUUCCAGAACAUGAUUAUCAUAUAUGUUAUUCAUGUGCCCUCUU